AUGCAUGAGGCCCCCCCAAAGUCCCCACCCAGCAACUGUAACCCAGGUAACUGGCACACCUGGGGGUGGUGGGAGGUCCCCCAGGUUCUGAAGUCA